GCAUAUCAAUAAGCGGAGGAAAAGAAACCAACAGGGAUUGCCCUAGUAACGGCGAGUGAAGCGGCAACAGCUCAAAUUUGAAAUCUGGCUUCGGCCCGAGUUGUAAUUUGCAGAGGAAGCUUUAGGCGCGGCACCUUCUGAGUCCCCUGGAACGGGGCGCCAUAGAGGGUGAGAGCCCCGUAUAGUUGGAUGCCUAGCCUGUGUAAAGCUCCUUCGACGAGUCGAGUAGUUUGGGAAUGCUGCUCAAAAUGGGAGGUAAAUUUCUUCUAAAGCUAAAUACCGGCCAGAGACCGAUAGCGCACAAGUAGAGUGAUCGAAAGAUGAAAAGCACUUUGAAAAGAGGGUUAAAUAGCACGUGAAAUUGUUGAAAGGGAAGCGCUUGUGACCAGACUUGCGCCGGGCGGAUCAUCCGGUGUUCUCACCGGUGCACUCCGUCCGGCUCAGGCCAGCAUCGGUUCUCGCGGGGGGAUAAAGGUCCUGGGAACGUAGCUCCUCCGGGAGUGUUAUAGCCCGGGGCGUAAUGCCCUCGCGGGGACCGAGGUUCGCGCAUCUGCAAGGAUGCUGGCGUGAUGGUCAUCAGCGACCCGUUUGAAACACGGACCA
rnacentral:rRNA from 1 species